CGUGUAGGUGGCUUGCCAAGUCUGGUGUGAAAUCCCACGGCUCAACUGUGGAACUGCAUUGGAAACUGGUAAGCUCGAGUAUUGGGAGGGGGUCGCGGAAUUCCCGGUGUAGAGGUGAAAUUCGUAGAUAUCGGGAGGAACACCAGUGGCGAAGGCGGCGACCUGGCCAUUUACUGACACUGAGACGCGAAAGCGUGGGUAGCAAACA
rnacentral:rRNA from 1 species